rnacentral:rRNA from 1 species
UGGUUAAGUGGGAAACGAUGUGGGAAGGCUUAGACAGCUAGGAGGUUGGCUUAGAAGCAGCCAUCCUUUAAAGAAAGCGUAAUAGCUCACUAGUCGAGUCGGCCUGCGCGGAAGAUGUAACGGGGCUCAAACCAGGCACCGAAGCUACGGGUGUCAUCUUUGAUGACGCGGUAGAGGAGCGUUCUGUAAGCCUGUGAAGGUGAGUUGAGAAGCUUGCUGGAGGUAUCAGAAGUGCGAAUGCUGACAUGAGUAACGACAAUGGGUGUGAAAAACAUCCACGCCGAAAGACCAAGGGUUCCUGCGCAACGUUAAUCGACGCAGGGUUAGUCGGCUCCUAAGGCGAGGCUGAAAAGCGUAGUCGAUGGGAAACGGGUCAAUAUUCCCGUACUUCUAGUUACUGCGAUGGGGGGACGGAGAAGGCUAGGCCAGCACGGCGUUGGUUGUCCGUGUUUAAGGUGGUAGGCCGAGAUCUUAGGCAAAUCCGGGAUCUCAAGGCCGAGAACUGAUGACGAGCGUUCUUUACGAAUGCGAAGUGGUUGAUGCCAUGCUUCCAGGAAAAGCCUCUAAGCUUCAGGUAACUAGGAACCGUACCCCAAACCGACACAGGUGGUCGGGUAGAGAAUACCAAGGCGCUUGAGAGAACUCGGGUGAAGGAACUAGGCAAAAUGGCACCGUAACUUCGGGAGAAGGUGCGCCGGUGAGUGUGAAAGACUUGCUCUGUAAGCACACGCCGGUCGAAGAUACCAGGCCGCUGCGACUGUUUAUUAAAAACACAGCACUCUGCAAACACGAAAGUGGACGUAUAGGGUGUGACGCCUGCCCGGUGCCGGAAGGUUAAUUGAUGGGGUUAGCGAAAGCGAAGCUCUUGAUCGAAGCCCCGGUAAACGGCGGCCGUAACUAUAACGGUCCUAAGGUAGCGAAAUUCCUUGUCGGGUAAGUUCCGACCUGCACGAAUGGCGUAACGAUGGCGGCGCUGUCUCCACCCGAGACUCAGUGAAAUUGAAAUCGCUGUGAAGAUGCAGUGUAUCCGCGGCUAGACGGAAAGACCCCGUGAACCUUUACUGUAGCUUUGCACUGGACUUUGAGCCUGCUUGUGUAGGAUAGGUGGGAGGCUUUGAAGCGUGGACGCCAGUUCGCGUGGAGCCAUCCUUGAAAUACCACCCUGGCAUGCUUGAGGUUCUAACUCUGGCCCGUUAUCCGGGUCGAGGACAGUGUAUGGUGGGCAGUUUGACUGGGGCGGUCUCCUCCUAAAGAGUAACGGAGGAGUACGAAGGUGCGCUCAGACCGGUCGGAAAUCGGUCGCAGAGUAUAAAGGCAAAAGCGCGCUUGACUGCGAGACAAACACGUCGAGCAGGUACGAAAGUAGGUCUUAGUGAUCCGGUGGUUCUGUAUGGAAGGGCCAUCGCUCAACGGAUAAAAGGUACUCCGGGGAUAACAGGCUGAUACCGCCCAAGAGUUCAUAUCGACGGCGGUGUUUGGCACCUCGAUGUCGGCUCAUCACAUCCUGGGGCUGAAGCCGGUCCCAAGGGUAUGGCUGUUCGCCAUUUAAAGUGGUACGCGAGCUGGGUUUAGAACGUCGUGAGACAGUUCGGUCCCUAUCUGCCGUGGACGUUUGAGAUUUGAGAGGGGCUGCUCCUAGUACGAGAGGACCGGAGUGGACGAACCUCUGGUGUUCCGGUUGUCACGCCAGUGGCACUGCCGGGUAGCUAUGUUCGGAAGAGAUAACCGCUGAAAGCAUCUAAGCGGGAAACUUGCCUCAAGAUGAGAUCUCACUGGAGCCUCGAGCUCCCUGAAGGGCCGUCGGAGACUACGACGUUGAUAGGCUGGGUGUGUAAGCGUUGUGAGGCGUUGAGCUAACCAGUACUAAUUGCCCGUGAGGCUUGACCAU